rnacentral:rRNA from 1 species
AGUGAACGCUGGCGGUAGGCCUAACACAUGCAAGUCGAACGGCAGCACAGUAAGAGCUUGCUCUUACGGGUGGCGAGUGGCGGACGGGUGAGGAAUACAUCGGAAUCUACUUUUUCGUGGGGGAUAACGUAGGGAAACUUACGCUAAUACCGCAUACGACCUACGGGUGAAAGCAGGGGAUCUUCGGACCUUGCGCGAUUGAAUGAGCCGAUGUCGGAUUAGCUAGUUGGCGGGGUAAAGGCCCACCAAGGCGACGAUCCGUAGCUGGUCUGAGAGGAUGAUCAGCCACACUGGAACUGAGACACGGUCCAGACUCCUACGGGAGGCAGCAGUGGGGAAUAUUGGACAAAGGGCGCAAGCCUGAUCCAGCCAUACCGCGUGGGUGAAGAAGGCCUUCGGGUUGUAAAGCCCUUUUGUUGGGAAAGAAAAGCAGCAGGUUAAUACCCCGCAGUUCUGACGGUACCCAAAGAAUAAGUACCGGCUAACUUCGUG